rnacentral:rRNA from 1 species
UACGGGGGGGGCAAGCGUUGUUCGGAAUUACUGGGCGUAAAGGGCGCGUAGGUGGCCUUCUUAGUCAGACGUGAAAUCCCUGGGCUUAACUCAGGAACUGCGUCUGAUGCUGGAAGGCUCGAGUUCGGGAGAGGAAUGUGGAAUUCCAGGUGUAGCGGUGAAAUGCGUAGAUAUCUGGAGGAACACCGGUGGCGAAGGCGGCAUUCUGGACCGAAACUGACACUGAGGCGCGAAAGCCAGGGGAGCAAACGGG